rnacentral:rRNA from 1 species
AAAGGAAUAGACGGGGGCCCGCACAAGCGGUGGAGCAUGUGGUUUAAUUCGAUGCAACGCGAAGAACCUUACCAGGUCUUGACAUCCGGAGAAUCCUGUAGAAAUACGGGAGUGCCUUUCGGGGAGCUCUGAGACAGGUGGUGCAUGGUUGUCGUCAGCUCGUGUCGUGAGAUGUUGGGUUAAGUCCCGCAACGAGCGCAACCCUUGCUAUUAGUUGCUAACAGGAAAGCUGAGCACUCUAAUGGGACUGCCUGUGACAAGCAGGAGGAAGGUGGGGAUGACGUCAAAUCAUCAUGCCCUUUAUGAUCUGGGCUACACACGUGCUACAAUGGAUGGUACAGAGAGCGGCAAAGCUGCAAAGUGGAGCGAAUCUCAAAAAGCCAUUCUCAGUUCGGAUUGGAGUCUGCAACUCGACUCCAUGAAGUCGGAAUCGCUAGUAAUCGCGGAUCAGAACGUCGCGGUGAAUGCGUUCCCGGGCCUUGUACACACCGCCCGU